rnacentral:misc_RNA from 1 species
GUAUCUUUCAGCAAGAGUAGAUACAUAUAUCACCUCCAUCAUUUAUGGAAAUACAUUAUACACAUGCACACAAGGACUUCAUUGCAUAUGGCUACAGGCCUUCAAAUUAUUGUUUACAUAAUGAUUCUUUUAAAAGUUCAGGUCUUGUGAAAAAGAAAGGGGGUAAGGAAGACCAAGGAGACUUGGCCCAUUGACCACAAAUCCACACAAAGAAGAAAAUAAGUCUUCAUUUACCAAAAUGACCACAACAGCAAACCAAACCCUCAAACCAGUGUAGUCAGAAUUCACUAUUUUAUUCAAAAUUUCUUCAUAACUCGACUCACCAAAACUUGGAAAGAUUUUUAAAUGCUGUACUGCUAAUAGGCAAAUUAAGGCCAAGAAAUUUUCAAUUAUAUACCAAAAAGAAACUCAACUAAAGAACAGUAAAUCUACAUCUCAACUAGCCGAUGCAGAACCCCCAAAAGUAUCUUUCAGCAAG